rnacentral:SRP_RNA from 1 species
CAUUGGUUCUCUCGCAACGAUAGCUCGUGAACUUGGUCAGGCCCGGAAGGGAGCAGCCACAGCAAGUGACUCGUGUGCCGGGAUGUAGCUGGUGGGG